rnacentral:lncRNA from 1 species
UGUGUGCCAGGAGCCAUGCUACCUCUAUGAACACCGCCUCUUUUGUCAUACCAUCUUGAGAAAAUACGUGUUAUGAUUCCCACUCUAGAUGAAGAAACUGAAGCCCAGAGAGAGACUAAAGAACUUACCAAGAUCAUGCGGCCAAUACGGGACAGAGUCAGGGCUUGAGCCAACUCCAGAAUCCAUACCAGAAUCACUUUUCAGCAGCCCGUUCCUUCUGAAUAUCCUCCAUCACAAAUCCCUCCGUUAUAUCCAGCAGUCCCAGUUCACCAGCACCCACUGGAGACAGCAGAGCACAGCAGAAUUUAGGCAAGUAAAAACAUACUUUCUACCCAUACAAUUCUGGGUGUGUCCUCCUACCUUCCUGGCCUCCCUUGUCUCAUCUUUAAAAU